UAAACGGCCCUUUUCAGGGCCACCAAUUUAUUUUUGAAAAAAAGAAU
rfam:Daphnia pulex DAPPTscaffold_6_Cont406, whole genome shotgun sequence.